CAUGCAGUCGAACGAGUUCUGAUUAUUGAAAGGUGCUUGCAUCUUGAUUUAAUUUUGAACGAGUGGCGGACGGGUGAGUAACACGUGGGUAACCUGCCCUUAAGUGGGGGAUAACAUUUGGAAACAGAUGCUAAUACCGCAUAAAUCCAAGAACCGCAUGGUUCUUGGCUGAAAGAUGGCGUAAGCUAUCGCUUUUGGAUGGACCCGCGGCGUAUUAGCUAGUUGGUGAGGUAACGGCUCACCAAGGCAAUGAUACGUAGCCGAACUGAGAGGUUGAUCGGCCACAUUGGGACUGAGACACGGCCCAAACUCCUACGGGAGGCAGCAGUAGGGAAUCUUCCACAAUGGACGCAAGUCUGAUGGAGCAACGCCGCGUGAGUGAAGAAGGCUUUCGGGUCGUAAAACUCUGUUGUUGGAGAAGAAUGGUCGGCAGAGUAACUGUUGUCGGCGUGACGGUAUCCAACCAGAAAGCCACGGCUAACUACGUGCCAGCAGCCGCGGUAAUACGUAGGUGGCAAGCGUUAUCCGGAUUUAUUGGGCGUAAAGCGAGCGCAGGCGGUUUUUUAAGUCUGAUGUGAAAGCCCUCGGCUUAACCGAGGAAGUGCAUCGGAAACUGGGAAACUUGAGUGCAGAAGAGGACAGUGGAACUCCAUGUGUAGCGGUGAAAUGCGUAGAUAUAUGGAAGAACACCAGUGGCGAAGGCGGCUGUCUGGUCUGUAACUGACGCUGAGGCUCGAAAGCAUGGGUAGCGAACAGGAUUAGAUACCCUGGUAGUCCAUGCCGUAAACGAUGAAUGCUAGGUGUUGGAGGGUUUCCGCCCUUCAGUGCCGCAGCUAACGCAUUAAGCAUUCCGCCUGGGGAGUACGACCGCAAGGUUGAAACUCAAAGGAAUUGACGGGGGCCCGCACAAGCGGUGGAGCAUGUGGUUUAAUUCGAAGCAACGCGAAGAACCUUACCAGGUCUUGACAUCUUUUGAUCACCUGAGAGAUCAGGUUUCCCCUUCGGGGGCAAAAUGACAGGUGGUGCAUGGUUGUCGUCAGCUCGUGUCGUGAGAUGUUGGGUUAAGUCCCGCAACGAGCGCAACCCUUAUGACUAGUUGCCAGCAUUUAGUUGGGCACUCUAGUAAGACUGCCGGUGACAAACCGGAGGAAGGUGGGGAUGACGUCAAAUCAUCAUGCCCCUUAUGACCUGGGCUACACACGUGCUACAAUGGAUGGUACAACGAGUUGCGAGACCGCGAGGUCAAGCUAAUCUCUUAAAGCCAUUCUCAGUUCGGACUGUAGGCUGCAACUCGCCUACACGAAGUCGGAAUCGCUAGUAAUCGCGGAUCAGCACGCCGCGGUGAAUACGUUCCCGGGCCUUGUACACACCGCCCGUCACACCAUGAGAGUUUGUAACACCCGAAGCCGGUGGCGUAACCCUUUUAGGGAGCGAGCCGUCU
rnacentral:rRNA from 1 species